GCCAGCCCGCUCAGAAACUUAAAGGAAGUUGACGGGGGCCCGCACAAGCGGUGGAGCACGUGGUUUAAUUCGAUGCAAACCGAAGAACCUUACCUGGUCUUGACAUCCCGGAGACCCUUAGGAAACUAGGGGGUGCCUUCCAUCUGGAAGAAUCUGGAGACAGGUGCUGCAUGGCUGUCGUCAGCUCGUGUCGUGAGAUGUUGGGUUAAGUCCCGCAACGAGCGCAACCCUUGCCUUUAGUUGCCAGCAGUUCGGCUGGGCACUCUAAAGGGACUGCCGGUGUUAAACCGGAGGAAGGUGGGGAUGACGUCAAGUCCUCAUGGCCUUUAUGACCAGGGCUACACACGUACUACAAUGGCCGAUACAAAGGGCAGCGACACUGCGAGGUGAAGCCAAUCCCGUAAAAUCGGUCUCAGUCCGGAUUGGAGUCUGCAACUCGACUCCAUGAAGUUGGAAUCGCUAGUAAUCGUGGAUCAGCAUGCCACGGUGAAUACGUUCCCGGGCCUU
rnacentral:rRNA from 1 species